rnacentral:lncRNA from 1 species
UGGAAACAAACUAAAAUCCUUAUUUCUCUCAUUCAAAUAAGUAGGGGAUUUCAUCCACAUCUCUAAAAUAUGUUUUGGGUGGAAACAAACUAAAAUCCUAAUCCUAAUUUCUCACAUUCAAGUAACUAAGAGAUUUCAUCCACAUCUCUAAAUUAACUUUUUGGUGCAAACAAACUAAAAUCCUUAUUUCUCUCAUCCAAAUAAUUAGGGGAUUUCAUCCACAUCUCUAAAAUAUGUUUUGGGUGGAAACAAACUAAAAAUCCUAAUUCCUCUCAUUCAAGUAACUACUAAAGAUUUCAUCCACAUCUCUAAAAUAUGUUUUGGGUGGAAACAAACUAAAAUCCUAAUCCUAA